AGGACCUGGGAAAAAGGCAAUCUGAGGGUGCUGGUGAAUAGCAAAUGCAAGCCAGGCACUAAGAAGGGAGGGUCCCUGCUCUGCCUUAGGAAGCCAUCACGGGGAGUUCAAUGAUUUUUUUUUUUUUCUCCCAAAGGAAAAAGAAAACAUACAGAAAGAGGAAAAAAAUGAAGAGGCAUCAGUGGAAAUGAAAAGCCUGACAGCAAGGACUGAGGCAACCUUAAGCACUGCUGCGAGGGAGAAGGAAAUGGUUUGCCUGAGCUGAUCAUGCAUCAAACCCUCCCCCGCCACAAAAAAAAAAAAAAAAAGCCAACAAAAAACAACCCAACAACAACAGGAAAAAAAACCAACCCCAAAGUAAACAGCCUUUCUAGGAGGCACCAGCUGGAGGAGAUGGAUCACAGGCUGAAGUAUCAGUGUACUCAUGCAGCCGGUUCCCAAGGCAGAGGCCAGUUUUGCUGACAUUCGUGCCCACUUAGUCGCAGAGUUCCAGGACCAUACAAAAGGCUGUUACUCAAAACGUGGGGAUGCGCCUACCGCAUGAAGUACAAAAUUCAAAGAGCAAAAGCGCCACCCUCCCAAGUGCUAAAGAUGGAUUGCAAGGGAACAACAGAAAGAAAAAAAAAUAGAGUUCAAAAUGAGAGGAGCUGAUGCUUACAACUGAACUAAGCAUCGUGUUUCCUCCUAUAACAUCAUGUCCAUGUCUUCCUCCCCCAAGCCCCCCAAGUAAUUUCAGUUUCACAGAGUACCUAGGAAUGGCACCUUCUCUCUGUACUCCUGAUGCCCGAGAUGUAACAGAAGCCCCCAACCAUGUGUGCCAGCUAGUUAAACUCUGCUGCCAUUCCCAGAAUGCCUAAUGAGGACUUCACUUCCACAUUUACAGGAGGCUCUCCCAUAUUAAAACCUUGUGGUUUUAUUUUUCAGGGAUACAAUUUGCCGGUUGGCAAGCAAUGAAGCUCUUGCAUGUGUCUGUGAAAACACGUAAAUAAAACAUUCCAUAGGAAAAGAAAAUGUGAGCAAUGGGAGCUAUUAAAAUAGCUGCCCAUUCCUGGAAGCUUCUGACCACAUGGACCAAUUUCCAGUCUUCCUUCCUCCAGCGCCAUUAUGUAAUGGAGAGAUUUAAUAUACAUUUUACAGACAAGAGAGUCCUUGCCUCCUUGAUGCAUUGCCUUCAUCACUGCAGCUCAGAGAAUUUGGUGAGUCAGAAAUCCCAGUAGUGGGAAGUUGCAGGUUUACAAUAAUACAUGGCUGAACAAUACGUUGCGAUUGAGCCAACACAGAAAUUUCCCUGUUUUUAUCAGUGUGAGCACAGAGACGUGGCUCUUGAUGUUCCCAGAGUUUUUAACUAAAGGGAAUUUAGGAAAAAAACCCUCAUCCAACUUGACAGACCUUGCCUUUACACAUGACAGACUUCGACUGAAUAACGACAACACAACAAGAAAGCAGAUACACUAGCAGCUCUAAAGUAAACAAAGCUUAAUGUAAAAGCACCUGGGAAAAUCCUGAAAGAAAAUUACUAUAAAACCAGUGACUGGAAAAGACGCUGACAGUACUUGAUACAGCUAUGCUUCAGCCACAGGCUGUAAUUUCAUUCUGUUGUUGCAUUAUGAUGAUUUCUUAAUAGAGAAAUGGUGUUUGCUUUAAAAACAAAAUAAAAUGCUUUAAUAAUUCUUAUCAACCCCAAAAUCUUACCAGACUCACUCAUAACUUCUCUUUGCAAUUAUUCAAUAGUGUUAAAAAGUUGUGUGAUGGGACAGAAAUCACCAAGUAUUUAGAGGAUGUUCUGAGAAUUCACAAAGUUUCUUUAUAAAUUGCAAGGGAGAUUUACUGAAAGCAAGAGAACCUUUGCAUUUGCCUUCUAUGAUACAACAGAAUGCAACUUUUGCAUAUUAAUAAAAAACUUUUUGUUGUU